rnacentral:rRNA from 1 species
GUGCCAGCAGCCGCGGUAAUACGUAGGUGGCAAGCGUUGUCCGGAUUUAUUGGGUUUAAAGGGUGCGUAGGCGGCCCCGUAAGUCAGUGCUGAAAUAUCCCGGCUUAACCGGGAGGGUGGCAUUGAUACUGCAGGGCUUGAGUAAAGUUGAGGUAGGCGGAAUUGACGGUGUAGCGGUGAAAUGCUUAGAUAUCGUCAAGAACACCGAUAGUGUAGACAGCUUACUAAGCUUUAACUGACGCUGAGGCACGAAAGUGUGGGGAUCAAACAGGAUUAGAAACCCCCGUAGUCC